rnacentral:rRNA from 1 species
UCGGGAAUUUUGGGCAAUGGGCGAAAGCCUGACCCAGCAACGCCGCGUGAAGGAUGAAGUAUUUCGGUAUGUAAACUUCGAAAGAAUAGGAAGAAUAAAUGACGGUACUAUUUAUAAGGUCCGGCUAACUACGUGCCAGCAGCCGCGGUAAUACGUAGGGACCAAGCGUUGUUCGGAUUUACUGGGCGUAAAGGGCGCGUAGGCGGCAAUUCAAGUCAUCUGUGAAAUCUCCGGGCUUAACUCGGAACGGUCAGAUGAUACUGCUUUGCUAGAGUGCAGAAGGGGCAAUCGGAAUUCUUGGUGUAGCGGUGAAAUGCGUAGAUAUCGGAAGGAACAUCAGUUGCGAAGGCGGCUCUCUGGACUCAAACUGACGCUGAGGCACGAAAGCGUGGGUAGCGAACAGGAUUAGAUACCCAAGUAGUCCCUGAGCGGGC